rnacentral:rRNA from 1 species
ACUCAAAUGAAUUGACGGGGACCCGCACAAGCGGUGGAGGAUGUGGUUUAAUUCGAAGCUACGCGCAAAACCUUACCAGCCUUUGACAUGCUUCUUUUGAGCCUGAGAGAUCAGGUUCUUCGGUUCGGCCGGGGAAUGCACAGGUGCUGCAUGGCUGUCGUCAGCUCGUGUCGUGAGAUGUUGGGUUAAGUCCCGCAACGAGCGCAACCCUUACCGUUAGUUGCCAGCAGGUCAAGCUGGGCACUUUAACGGAACAGCCGGUGAAAGCCGGAGGAAGGUGGGGAUGACGUCAAGUCCUCAUGGCCCUUAUGGGCUGGGCUACACACGUCCUACAAUGGCAUUGACAGAGGGAAGCGACCUUGCAAGAGGAAGCGGAUCCCAAAAAGAUGCCUCAGUUCGGAUUGUCCUCUGAAACUCGAGGGCAUGAAGUCGGAAUCGCUAGUAAUCGUGGAUCAGCAUGCCACGGUGAAUACGUUCUCGGGUCUUGUACACACCGCCCGU